AUUGAACGCUGGCGGAAUGCUUUACACAUGCAAGUCGAACGGCAGCACGGACUUCGGUCUGGUGGCGAGUGGCGAACGGGUGAGUAAUGUAUCGGAACGUGCCCAGUCGUGGGGGAUAACGUAGUGAAAAUUACGCUAAUACCGCAUACGAUCUAUGGAUGAAAGCGGGGGAUCGCAAGACCUCGCGCGAUUGGAGCGGCCGAAGUCAGAUUAAGUAGUUGGUGGGGUAAAGGCCCACCAAGCCAACGAUCUGUAGCUGGUCUGAGAGGACGACCAGCCACACUGGAACUGAGACACGGUCCAGACUCCUACGGGAGGCAGCAGUGGGGAAUUUUGGACAAUGGGCGAAAGCCUGAUCCAGCCAUUCCGCGUGCAGGAUGAAGGCCCUCGGGUUGUAAACUGCUUUUGUACAGAACGAAAAGGUUUCUACUAAUACUAGGAGCUCAUGACGGUACUGUAAGAAUAAGCACCGGCUAACUACGUGCCAGCCGCCGCCGUAA
rnacentral:rRNA from 1 species